rnacentral:lncRNA from 1 species
UUGUUAAAUUACGAGCCUAGUUGGUUUAGCCACAGAAAAAGCCAAGAACCUUCCCACUAGCCAUGAUUGGCUGAGAUAAUGAAUGUGCUGGACAUGAGAUCGGAUUUGUCUGCCAUGUUGCAUCUUUUGUCUAUAAAGUGAGCUGCUCGUUAUGUGUUGAUAAUUUUUUCUACUGCUGUUAUUUAGAAAGAUAUAACGUUAGCCAUGGAGAACUGCAAAUAUGUUGCGACUGCUCUCAAUAACAUUGCUGCCCUGAAUUUAUCAGGCACUAUCGACAAAGGUCAGUGGGAAAAAGUUGUGAUGGACUAUUUUCAGGAGGACGAUUGUACCAUGCUGAUUCUCUUUGACUCUUAUGGCAUUGCACACGGUCAGUGUGAACCAGAGUGACUUGACACAAUGGGCCAAGCAAGCUGUACAAACAAAAUGGACAUUACACAGGACGUCUUAUUUAAUAAAAGGGGUUGCAGUCUGCUGUGUAGCGUUCAUCCAUGUGUACAGCAUCAGUAGAACAAGCCUGACUCUCCUCCACCAGUCAUACAAGGAGAAUGAUCUAAUGCCUCCCAUCAAAAAGAGAGCUGGCCCAAGCAAGCACAGGUUACACCUGAAGCAUGAGGACUUGCAACGAGUUGUGAACUUCAUCAACAACUACGCAGAGGAUAAUGCAAUAGUAUUACCAGGACGCCACCCAGGAGACAAACACUUUGGUGGAAAGCUGCUGCCAUCUCAUAUGACAAAAGCAGCGGUGUGGCGUCUCUACAAAGAAUCGAUGACAACAGUUGGUCCGAGGAUGGCUGCAUGAUAUUGUGCGUGUCAAAAGAGAAGAGGGUGCUGCUGCAUUUUACCCUUGCACAUUUGCAGAAAACUAAAGAGAAGAGGAUAAUGCACAGAAAUCGAACUUAAACUGUAUUAUUUUAAUUUUAUAUACUUUACCUUUUCAAAAGGCUGCUGUUUUAUUGCACUCUGUCUGUUGCCCAGAUAAGGGGGAAAAGAGAAGAGGAUUGUAUCGUAUUAUUGAGGAUUGAAAAGGACUGCAUUUUAUUUCCAUGGGGAGGUCUGAAAUUACAGGAGGCCUAUUAUGCACGUUGCACAUUUUGUUGUUGUUUUUUCGAAUCCUAAAAUAAAAAUGACAUCAAAAAUCUGAUUUCUGUAUUGUAUUUCUAUAAUUUCAUCAAUGCAACGAAACAUAAUACAUUAAUAUUAUA